GUUAAUGCCUUUGCAUACAUUCAACAAAACGGAGGAAUUGCCAGUGAAGAAAAUUACCCAUACCAGAGUUUAGAUGGCAGUGAAGGAACAUGUGAUAUGAACAAGGCAAAUGAGGCUGCUGCCCGGAUAACUAGUUAUGCAGAGGUACCUCCCAACAGUGAAACCGAUCUACUCAAGGCUGUGUCCAUGCAACCAGUCUCCGUUGCCAUCAAUAUGUCACCAGCCUUUCAGCAUUAUUCAGGCGGGGUGUUCACCGGUGAUGAUUGUGGGACAUCAUUGGACCACGCUGUUACCGUCAUUGGGUAUGGGACAACUGAUGAUGGCACCCCCUAUUGGUUAAUCAAGAAUUCAUGGUCCGAUACGUGGGGUGAGAAUGGCUACAUGAAGAUUCUUAGAAACGCUGAAGCCCCAGGUGGUGUUUGUAGCCUCGCUACGAAAGCUUCCUAUCCGACUAUUUAAUGUAUUAAUGAAAGGGUGGAGUGAGCUUCUCCACUUUGCCUAUAGGUUAUAAGUACUACAGACAAAAACCAUAGGCUGUGAAAAUGCCUGUAUUUUGUAUUUGCUAAAAGUAUGGUUUAUGAAAUUACACUAUUUUUGUUGUGCUAGGAUAACACCAAAACCAAUUGGAACCAACUCAAGCUAACCCACAUGAAAUUUAUCAAAUGAAAAUGCAAGAACAAAAUAUAAAAGACAUCAAGAUUUUAACGAGGUUCCUCAACAGUCAGUGUAACUGGAGUACGUCCUCGGAGCAGUAGGAGCUCACCCAAUAAUCCACUAUCAACCAAUUGGGAGUUUACAAAGUGUUGGCAAUCUCACAACCUAAAUAACCCAAUACACCCAAUAGCUCUCACACACCACAGAAACAAAUAGAGAAAGAAAUAUAAUGAAUAAUUUCUUCUCUAUACAUAUAGCUCAAAGCUAUUUCAACAACAACUACUUUGGUGGAUGAUUACUAACCAAAUGAAGCAUCAUCUUCUUCUUCUUUUUGGGCUCUCUGCAACUCUCUUUGCUCUCGGCAGCUCUCACUUCUCUCUUCAGAAAAAAAUGAGCCCCUUCUUCUUUUUUUUUUCUCUUCAUCCGAAGAAAACCAAUAAUUAUGGCUUUGAAAAAGCCACAAAACAAGGAAACAUAAUCAUGAUGCCUCCUCAUCAUGAUGUUCCCUCAUCAUUAUGUCCUUCAAUCUUUUGUUUUGUUUACUAGCCGAAAGUGAAUGCCAAGUUGGCCACUAAUUUGGCCAUUAUCCAACAAUCUCCACCUUGGCCAAAUUCCGAAAACACCAUUAUAAGCCAACCAACACAAAAACACUCCCAAACACUACCAAGAGAACAACUCAUGCUGAGCCAAAUGCUCCAAAACUCCUACUGCUCAUCGCCUUCUUUAUAUAGGCAAAAUGUGAGCCAAGUUCAAGCAAUGAACAAACUUGGCUACACCAACAACCUUAGUCAACAUAUCAGUGGGGUUGUCUUUAGUUGGAAUCUUCUGGAGAAUGAUUUCUCCUUCACCAACAACUUCACGAACAAAGUGAUAACGCAUAUCUAUGUGCUUGGUCCUUGCAUGGUGAACAUGAUACUUAGCCAAAUAAAUGGCACUCUGACUAUCACAAUGCACCUGCACCUGCUUCUGAUCCACCCCCAAAUCUCUAAUUAGCCUAUGUAUCCAAAUGGCCUCCUUUAUAGCUACAGCAACUGCCAUAUAUUCAGCCUCUGUAGUAGACAAGGCAACAGACGACUGCAAAAUGGACCUCCAACAAACUGGCCCUUUAGCCAUAGUAAACACAUAGCCUGUAGUAGACUUCCUUCCAUCCAGAUCACCUGCAUAAUCUGAAUCAACAUAACCAACUGCAAAAUGACCAAUACCAGCGUCAUCCCUCUCAAAACAUAAACCAACAUCUUGAGUACCAUAGAGAUACCUCAAUAUCCACUUAGCUGCUUGCCAAUACUCUUUACCAGGAUUAUGCAUAUAUCGACUCACCAUGCCAACUGCAUGAGCAAUAUCCGGUCUAGAGCAUACCAUUGCAUACAUCAAACUACCAACCAAAUUUGCAUAUGGUAUAUUUUUCAUUUGCAGCUUCUCCUUAUCAGCUUUAGGACAUUGUAGAGAACUCAAUUUAAAAUGAGGAGCAAAGGGGUACUAACCGGUUUGGUUGAAUCAUGAACUCCAAACUUCUGAAUCAACUUCUCAAGGUAUUGUCUUUGAUUCAAGCAUACCAAACCUUUCUCUUUGUCUCUAGUGAUCUCCAUGCCAAGGAUCUUCUUUGCUUCACCAAGAUCCUUCAUCUCGAACUCAUUCUUCAUUUGCUUCUUCAAUUUCUCAAUCUCUUCGACAUUCUUUGAGGCAAUCAACAGAUCAUCAACAUAUAUCAACAAAUAAAUGAAAGACCCAUCUUGAAAAUUCUUGAAGUACACACAAUGAUCAUAUUGACUUCUAGAAUAAUUUUGGCCUUUCAUAAAUUUAUCAAACCUUAAAUACCAUUGCCUUGGAGAUUGCUUCAAGCCAUAAAGUGAUUUCUUCAAUUUGCAAAACAAAUUCUCCGUCCCUUUCACUGUAUACCCAUCCGGUUGACACAUAUAGAUCUCUUCAUUCAAAUCACCAUGUAAGAAAGCCAUCUUCACAUUAAGUUGCAAAGCUCAAGAUCAUACUGUGCAACAAGCGCUAACAUAAUGCGAAUUGAGGAGUGCUUCACAACUGGAGAAAAGAUUUCAUUGUAGUCAAUACCAUCAUUUUGUGCAUACCCUUUAGCAACUAAUCUUGCAUUGAAUCUCACAUUGCUUUUCUCAUCAGCAUCUUCCUUCUUGGCAUACACCCAUUUGCAAGUGAUAGCUUUCUUGCCCUUAGGCAAUUUAGCUAACUCCCAAGUCUUGUUCUUCAAGAGAGAAUUCAUCUCAUCACCCAUGGCAUUGCACCACCUCUCAUUCUCCUCACUCUCAAUGGCUUCCUCGAAAUUGGAUGGAAUAUCAUCAAUGAUAAUAGGAAGACCAAAAGCAACAUAGUCACUAUACUGGGCUGGCUUGGUAAUUUGUCUAUUUCCUCUGUUCUUGGCAAUAGGCUCUUGAGGUGAAACUUGCUCUUCAACUUGAAUAGAAUCUUCAAGUUCAACUUCUUCAACAUCCUCAUGGUCUCCAACUUCUUCACUUGUAGUGGCUUCGACAUCAGCAUAAAUAAGAUUUGAAGUACUAGAGACAACUUUCUCAAGCUCCACCUGUUGGACAUCUUUCACAUUCUUCUCAGAGUCCUUGUACAUACUUUCUUCAUCAAAUGUCACAUCUCUACUAAUUACAAGUUUCUUCAUCUCUGGGCACCACAACCGGUAACCUUUGACACCACUACAAAAACCAAGAAAGAUAGCCUUUUUGGCUAUAGGAUCAAGUUUAUUUUCAGUUACAUGAAAAUAAGCAGGUGAACCAAAAAUACGAAUAUGAUCAUAAUCAGAAGAGGGUUUUCCAGUCCAUACCUCCAUUGGUGUCUUACCCUGAAUAGCAGCUGAGGGUAACCGAUUGAUGAUGUGACAUGAGUAACUGCCUCUGCCCAAAACGACUUGCUCAAACUCGACUGAGACAACAUGCAUCUAACCUUCUCAAGCAAGGUUCGAUUCAAUCUUUCUGCAACUCCAUUUGUUGUGGAGUUCCCCAGACACUAAAAUGUCUCACAAUCCCUUCCUCUUUGCAAACUUUAAAGAAAGAGUCAGAUGUGUAUUCACCACCAUUAUCCGAUCUCAAAUCUUAAUCUUUCUCCCAGUUUGGUUUUCAACCAUUUUCUUUCAACCCAAGAAAAUGCUUAACACCUCACUCUUGUGCUUCAUAGUGUAGACCCAAGACCUUCUUGAAUAAUCAUCAACAAAAGUCACGAACCAAUGUCUACCACUCAAAGAGGGAGUCUUUGUAGGACCCCAAACAUCUGAAUGCACAUAAUCAAGAAUGCCCUUCAUCUGAUGUACCGCAGUACCAAACUUCACUCUAGUUUGCUUUCCUAAGACACAAUGCUCGCAUAAAUCAAGCUUACAAGUCGUGGCACAUUUUAGAAAACCUUGUUUCACAAGCCCUUGUAGAGCUUUCUCACCGGCAUGGCCUAAUCUCAUAUGCCACAGUCUAGUAGUAUCAGAAUCAUAUGUGCCCAUAUUUUCUGAGACUACAGAUGUUUCACCUGUCACAGUGCUUCCUUGCAAUAAAUACAAAUAGCCACAUCGAGGAGCUUUCAUCACAACAAGUGCACCAUAAGUAACUUUCAAUGUCUGUCCAUCUGAAUGAAACCUGAAGCCCUUGGAUUCCAAAGUACCCAAAGAAAUAAGAUUUUUCUUCAAAUUCGGUACAUACCGAACACCUGUCAACUCUUUAACCAUGCCAUCAUGCGACUUCAAACGAACUAUACCAAUCCCUUUUGUUGUGCAAGGAUUGUCAUCUCCUAUGAACACAACGCCACCAUCAAACUCUUUCAAGCUUGAAAACCAAUCCUUGUGAGGAGUCAUAUGAUGAGUACAACCCGUAUCCAACACCCACUUAGUAGCACAAUCAAAUGAUGAGGAAGUGGUUAAAGCAAAAUUAGAAAAAAUUUGUUUCAACCUCAGCAACAUUCAAUCAACCAUCAGCAGCCUUGCAGCUGCUUUCUGUUCCAUUCCAAGUGAAAGCCAAAAUAGUCGAUUUGAUACUUAUGAGUGGUUGGAGUAUAUAGCAAGAGAUGCUGCAUUUUGCCGUUAUUGCUAUAUUUUCAAAUGAAAACGGGAGAUGUUGGCAGUGAUGUCUUCACUGAAAAGGAUUUUUAAUGUAACUUGUUUGUAUUGAUAAAUUAUGGACGAUAUUACUAAAUUGAAAUGGUUGUUUCCUUUUUUUUAAACUUUGCACUCUUUUAAAUUCGCCCCUCCCCCUACUAAUUCUUGGCUUCGCCACUGAAUACUACAGAUGGCACCAAGUUCAGGAUAUUCAAGAAUGAAUGGGGUGAGAGCUAGGGCAAAAAUGGCUACAUUUGAAUUCUUAGAGAUGCUGGCCCUCCUAAAGGUCUGUGUGGCCUUGCUACAACGGCUUCCUACCCAAUUAUAGAUUGAUCGUGUCGGCUUCAAAGGCUACAAUUAAGUGCGUAAAUCUAAUUUUCUUCUCAAUAUUGAGAAAGCUCCGUUGAUAAAAAAGGGCUUGUAUUUUGUAUCUGAUUAGCAUAACUGAAGACGGCAUCGAGUUGUUUUGAAAAGAAUAUAAUUAAGUGUGUGGAUCUAAUUUUCUUUUCAUUUAGGUGUGCAGAGUUUUAUCUCAAAAUACCUCGAUUCUCUAGACUUAAAAUUUUAGAUAGUUUUUCCACUUGAUGAAGUUGAAACUUGAUAUACAUUAGAGCAAUUUUUAUCAAUUAGCUGAGCAUAAAAUUAAUACAGAAGAUCUGCAACCUCAAGAGAAUUAGUUUUGAAAAGCACACUAAAUUACAUGAAGAACACUUUGAGUGCCAGUCGAGCAACUCUGAGUUGGAGGGCCACUGCAUUGACUUACCAUUGUUAGUACUUGGAUUUCAAAAACAUCAUCAUCAAAUACUGGAGUUUUACGUUUAAAUUUCAUGAACCUGACCCCAAUUCCGUAUGAACACGGUAUGAGGUUCACACACCUUUAAUGGAAACUAAAGGCCAGAGGGCAAAGACUUCAGCAAAUAGACCAAGGACUUGUAGUCAUCAGACCCUUGAGUCAUCAAUGGAUCCUUCGAACUUCUUUGUGCACAAACUCCACGGCGAAAACAAAACAAGCGUAGCAUUCGGGCUAGACUGAUUGAUGAAGUUUACCGUGAAUCAUCAACCUGUGGAAUGUGCCUGGAAAUUUGGCUCCCUUCCAAAUUCCCAUCCUAACAAUUUCAACAAAGUGCACAUGCAGGCAAUCCCGAACGCCUUCUAUAUAAACCGGUAAUAUCAUGCUUGCUUCUUCACAUCCAGCUUGCCAAUCGCUACUUGAAACAAAGCCAUUGUCGACACAGAGCGCCCUCUCAUCACCGCAAUGGCUUUUGAAAGAAACCUUUUGAUUGUUACUAUACUCAUCACCUUGGGGACCUUGGCAUCUGAAGCCACGUCCCGCACAUUGUACCAAGCUUCCAUUGCUGCAAAACAUGAGCAGUGGAUGAAAAAGCAUGGACGCGUUUACCAGGACAGUGCGGAGAAGGAAAGGCGUUUCCUGAUAUUCAAAAACAAUAUGGAGUUUGUCGAGAAAUUCAACAGUGAAGGGAACAUGACUUACAGCCUAUGCGUCAACCGAUUUUCGGAUAUGAGCUAUGACGAAUUCCUCAGGUAUUAUACUGGAUACCAGCAGCCCACUGAAUCAACCUCAUCCGCAGAUGCAUCAUUUACGUACGAAAACCUAAGCCCGACGGAUGUUCCCCCAAGCAUUGACUGGAGGGACAAUGGAGCUGUUACUCCGGUAAAAGAUCAAGGGCGCUGUGGUAAGAGCACCAACCACCAUAUUAAUAUGGGGCUAAGUACAUAUAUAUGUAUUGCAUUAAUUACUUUCUUCGUGCAUUCAUCCUACGGAAAUUCAUUCAUAUCCGUUUGUUCAAAUACAUGCAGGUUGUUGCUGGGCAUUUUCUGCAGUGGCAGCAGUCGAAGGGAUUACCCAAAUCAAAACUGGCAAAUUGAUCUCACUGUCUGAGCAACAGCUUGUGAACUGUGAUACAGAUAACAACAGGGGCUGCCAAGGUGGUUGGAUGGUUGAUGCCUUUGCAUACAUUAAACAAAACGGAGGAAUUACCAGUGAAGAAAAUUACCCAUACCAGAGUUUAGAUGGCAGUGAAGGAACAUGUGAUAUGAACAAGGCAAAAGAGGCUGCUGCCCGGAUAACUAGUUAUGCAGAGGUACCUCCCAACAGUGAAACCGAUCUACUCAAGGCUGUGUCCAUGCAACCAGUCUCCGUUGCCAUCAAUAUGUCACCAGCCUUUCAGCAUUAUUCAGGCGGGGUGUUCACCGGUGAUGAUUGUGGGACAUCAUUGGACCACGCUGUUACCGUCAUUGGGUAUGGGACAACUGAUGAUGGCACCCCCUAUUGGUUAAUCAAGAAUUCAUGGUCCGAUACGUGGGGUGAGAAUGGCUACAUGAAGAUUCUUAGAAACGCUGAAGCCCCAGGUGGUGUUUGUAGCCUCGCUACGAAAGCUUCCUAUCCGACUAUGUAAUGUAUUAAUGAAAGGGUGGAGUGAGCUUCUCCACUUUGCCUAUAGGUUAUAAGUACUACAGACAAAAACCAUAGGCUGUGAAAAUGCCUGUAUUUUGUAUUUGCUAAAAGUAUGGUUUAUGAAAUUACACUAUUUUUGUUGUGCUAGGAUAACACCAAAACCAAUUGGAACCAACUCAAGCUAACCCACAGGAAAUUUAUCAAAUGAAAAUGCAAGAACAAAAUAUAAAAGACACCAAGAUUUUAACGAGGUUCCUCAACAGUCAGUGUAACUGGAGUACGUCUUCGGAGCAGUAGGAGCUCACCCAAUAAUCCACUAUCAACCAAUUGGGAGUUUACAAAGUGUUGGGAAUCUCACAACCCAAAUAACUCAAUACACCAAAUAGCUCUCACACACCACAGAAAAAAUAGAGAAAGAAAUAUAAUGAAUAAUUUCUUCUCUAUACAUAUAGCUCAAUGUUAUUUCAACAACAACCACUUUGGUGGAUGAUUACUAACCAAAUGAAGCAUCAUCUUCUUCUUCCUUUUGGGCUCUCUACAACUCUCCUUGCUCUCGGCAGCUCUCACUUCUCUCUUCAGAAAAAAAUGAGCCCCUUCUUCUCUUUUUUUUCUCUUCAUCCGAAGAAAACCAAUAAUUAUGGCUUUGAAAAAGCCACAAAACAAGGAAACAUAAUCAUGAUGCCUCCUCAUCAUUAUGUCCUUCAAUCUUUUGUUUUGUUUACUAGCCGAAAGUGAAUGCCAAGUUGGCCACUAAUUUGGCCAUUAUCCAACAAUCUCCACAUUGGCCAAAUUCCGAAAACACCAUUAUAAGCCAACCAACACAAAAAACACUCCCAAACACAACCAAGAGAACAACUCAUACUGAGCCAAAUGCUCCAAAACUCCUACUGCUCAUCACCUUCUUUAUAUAGGCAAAAUGUGAGCCAAGUUCAAGCAAUGAACAAACUUGGCUACACCAACAACCUCAGUCAACAUAUCAACGGGGUUGUCAUUAGUUGGAAUGUCUGGAGAAUGAUUUCUCCUUCACCAACAACUUCACGAACAAAGUGAUAACGCACAUCUAUGUGCUUGGUCCUUGCAUGGUGAACAUGAUACUUAGCCAAAUAAAUGGCACUCUGACUAUCACAAUGCACCUGCACCUGCUUCUGAUCCACCCCCAAAUCUCUAAUCAGCCUAUGUAUCCAAAUGGCCUCCUUUAUAGCUUCAGGAACUGCCAUAUAUUCAGCCUCUGUAGUAGACAAGGCAACAGACGACUACAAAAUGGACCUCCAACAAACUGGCCCUUUAGCCAUAGUAAACACAUAGCCUGUAGUAGACUUCCUUCCAUCCAGAUUACCUGCAUAAUCUGAAUCAACAUAACCAACUGCAAAAUGACCAAUACUAGAGUCAUCCCUCUCAAAACAUAAACCAACAUCUUGAGUACCAUGGAGAUACCUCAAUAUCCACUUAGCUGCUUGCCAAUGCUCUUUACCAGGAUUAUGCAUAUAUCGACUCACCAUGCCAACUGCAUGAGCAAUAUCCAGUCUAGAGCAUACCAUUGCAUACAUCAAACUACCAACCAAAUUUGCAUAUGGUAUAUUUUUCAUUUGCAGCUUCUCCUUAUCAGCUUUAGGACAUUGUAGAGAACUCAAUUUAAAAUGAGGAGCUAAAGGGGUACUAACCGGUUUGGUUGAAUCAUGAACUCCAAACUUCUGAAUCAACUUCUCAAGGUAUUGUCUUUGAUUGAAGCAUACCAAACCUUUCUCUUUGUCUCUAGUGAUCUCCAUGCCAAGGAUCUUCUUUGCUUCACCAAGAUCCUUCAUCUCGAACUCAUUCUUCAUUUGCUUCUUCAAUUUCUCAAUCUCUUCGACAUUCUUUGAGGCAAUCAACAGAUCAUCAACAUAUAUCAACAAAUAAAUGAAAGACCCAUCUUGAAAAUUCUUGAAGUACACACAAUGAUCAUAUUGACUUCUAGAAUAAUUUUGGCCUUUCAUAAAUUUAUCAAACCUUAAAUACCAUUGCCUUGGAGAUUGCUUCAAGCCAUAAAGUGAUUUCUUCAAUUUGCAAAACAAAUUCUCCUUCCCUUUCACUGUAUACCCAUCCGGUUGACACAUAUAGAUCUCUUCAUUCAAAUCACCAUGUAAGAAAGCCGUCUUCACAUUAAGUUGCACAAGCUCAAGAUCAUACUGUGCAACAAGCGCUAACAUAAUGCUAAUUGAGGAGUGCUUCACAACAGGAGAAAAGAUUUCAUUGUAGUCAAUACCAUCAUUUUGUGCAUACCCUUUAGCAACUAAUCUUGCUUUGAAUCUCACAUUGCUUUUCUCAUCAGCAUUUUCCUUCUUGGCAUACACCCAUUUGCAAGUGAUAGCUUUCUUGCCCUUAGGCAAUUUAGCUAACUCCCAAGUCUUGUUCUUCAAGAGAGAAUUCAUCUCAUCACCCAUGGCAUUGCACCACAUCUCAUUCUCCUCACUCUCAAUGGCUUCCUCGAAAUUGGAUGGAAUAUCAUCAAUGAUAAUAGGAAGAGCAAAAGCAACAUAGUCACUAUACCGGGCUGGCUUGGUAAUUUGUCUCUUUCCUCUGUUCUUGGCAAUAGACUCUUGAGGUGAAACUUGCUCUUCAACUUGAAUAGAAUCUUCAAGUUCAACUUCUUCAACAUCCUCAUGGUCUCCAACUUCUUCACUUGUAGUGGCUUUGACAUCAGCAUAAAAAAGAUUUGAAGUACUAGAGGCAACUUUCUCAAGCUCCACCUGUUGGACAUCUUUCACAUUCUUCUCAGAGUCCUUGUACAUACUUUCUUCAUCAAAUGUCACAUCUCUACUAAUUACAAGUUCCUUCAUCUCUGGGCACCACAACCGGUAACCUUUGACACCACUACAAAAACCAAGAAAGAUAGCAUUUUUGGCUCUAGGAUCAAGUUUAUUUUCAGUUACAUGAAAAUAAGCAGGUGAACCAAAAAUACGAAUAUGAUCAUAAUCAGAAGAGGGUUUUCCAGUCCAUACCUCCAUUGGUGUCUUACCCUGAAUAGCAGCUGAGGGUAACCGAUUGAUGAUGUGACAUGCAUAAGUAACUGCCUCUGCCCAAAACGACUUGCUCAAACCCGAUUGAGAACAUGCAUCUAACCUUCUCAAGCAAGGUUCGAUUCAAUCUUUCUGCAACUCCAUUUUGUUGUGGAGUUCCCCAGACACUAAAAUGUCUCACAAUCCCUUCCUCUUUGCAAACUUUAAAGAAAGGGUCAGAUGUGUAUUCACCACCAUUAUCCAAUCUCAAAAUCUUAAUCUUUCUCCCAGUUUGGUUUUCAACCAUUUUCUUUCAACCCAAGAAAAUGCUUAACACCUCACUCUUGUGCUUCAUAGUGUAGACCCAAGACCUUCUUGAAUAAUCAUCAACAAAAGUCACGAACCAAUGUCUACCACUCAAAGAGGGAGUCUUUGUAGGACCCCAAACAUCUGAAUGCACAUAAUCAAGAAUGCCCUUCGUCUGAUGUACCACAGUACCAAACUUCACUCUAGUUUGCUUCCUAAGACACAAUGCUCGCAUAAAUCAAGCUUACAAGUCGUGGCACAUUUUAGAAAACCUUGUUUCACAAGCCCUUGUAGAGCUUUCUCACCGGCAUGGCCUAAUCUCAUAUGCCACAGUCUAGUAGUAUCAGAAUCAUAUAUGCCCAUAUUUUCUGAGACUACAGAUGUUUCACCUGUCACAGUGCUUCCUUGCAAUAAAUACAAAUGGCCACAUCGAUGAGCUUUCAUCACAACAAGUGCACCAUAAGUAACUUUCAAUGUCUGUCCAUCUGAAUGAAACCUGAAGCCCUUGGAUUCCAAAGUACCCAAAGAAAUAAGAUUUUUCUUCAAAUUCGGUACAUACCGAACACCUGUCAACUCUUUAACCAUGCCAUCAUGCAACUUCAAACGAACUAUACCAAUCCCUUUUGUUGUGCAAGGAUUGUCAUCUCCUAUGAACACAACGCCACCAUCAAACUCUUUCAAGCUUGAAACCCAAUCCUUGUGAUGAGUCAUAUGAUGAGUACAACCCGUAUCCAACACCCACUUAGUAGCACAAUCAAAUGAUGAGAAAGUGGUUAAAGCAAAAUCAGAAAAAAUCUGUUUCAACCUCAGCAACAUUCAAUCAACCAUCAGCAGCCUUGCAGCUGCUUUCCGUUCCAUUCCAAGUGAAAGCCAAAAUAGUCGAUUUGAUACUUAUGAGUGGUUGGAGUAAAAUAUAGCAAGAGAUGCUGCAUUUUGCCGUUAUUGCUAUAUUUUCAAAUGAAAACGGGAGAUGUUGGCAGUGAUGUCUUCACUGAAAAGGAUUUUUAAUGUAACUUGUUUGUAUUGAUAAAUUAUGGACGAUAUUACUAAAUUGAAAUGGUUGUUUCCCUUUUUUUAAACUUUGCACUCUUUUAAAUUCGCCCCUCCCCCUACUAAUUCCUGGCUUCGCCACUGAAUACUACAGAUGGCACCAAGUUCAGGAUAUUCAAGAAUGAAUGGGGUGAGAGCUAGGGCAAAAAUGGCUACAUUUGAAUUCUUAGAGAUGCUGGCCCUCCUAAAGGUCUUUGUGGCCUUGCUACAACGGCUUCCUACCCAAUUAUAGAUUGAUCGUGUCGGCUUCAAAGGCUACAAUUAAGUGCGUAAAUCUAAUUUUCUUCUCAAUAUUGAGAAAGCUCCGUUGAUAAAAAAGGGCUUGUAUUUUGUAUCUGAUUAGCAUAACUGAAGACGGCAUCAAGUUGUUUUGAAAAGAAUAUAAUUAAGUGUGUGGAUCUAAUUUUCUUUUCAUUUAGGUGUGCAGAGUUUUAUCUCAAAAUACCUUGAUUCUCUAGACUUAAAAUUUUAGAUAGUUUUUCCACUUGAUGAAGUUGAAACUUGAUAUACAUUAGAGCAAUUUUUAUCAAUUAGCUGAGCAUAAAAUUAAUUCAGAAGAUCUGCAACCUCAAGAGAAUUAGUUUUGAAAAGCACACUAAAUUACAUGAAGAACACUUUGAGUGCCAGUCGAGCAACUCUGAGUUGGAGGGCCACUGCAUUGACUUACUAUUGUUAGUACUUGGAUUUCAAAAACAUCAUCAUCAAAUACUGGAGUUUUACGUUUAAAUUUCAUGAACCUGACCCCAAUUCCGUAUGGACUCGGUAUGAGGUUCACUGAUGCAGAUUGGUAAAUUUGUAAUCAUCAGCACCUUUAACGGAAACUAAAGGCCAAAGGGCAAAGACUUCAGCAAAUAGACCAAGGACUUGUAGUCAUCAGACCCUUGAGUCAUCAAUGGAUCCUUCGAACUUCUUUGUGCACAAACUCCACGGCGAAAACAAAACAAGCGUAGCAUUCGGGCUAGACUGAUUGAUGAAGUUUACCGUGAAUCAUCAACCUGUGGAAUGUGCCUGGAAAUUUGGCUCCCUUCCAAAUUCCCAUCCUAACAAUUUCAACAAAGUGCACAUGCAGGACAUCCCGAACGUCUUCUAUAUAAACCGGUAAUAUCAUGCUUGCUUCUUCACAUCCAGCUUGCCAAUCACUACUUGAAACAAAGCCAUUGUCGACACAGAGCGCCCUCUCAUCACCGCAAUGGCUUUUGAAAGAAACCUUUUGAUUGUUACCAUACUCAUCACCUUGGGGACCUUGGCAUCUGAAGCCACGUCCCGCACAUUGUACCAAGCUUCCAUUGCUGCAAAACAUGAGCAGUGGAUGAAAAAGCAUGGACGCGUUUACCAGGACAGCGCAGAGAAGGAAAGGCGUUUCCAGAUAUUCAAAAACAAUGUGGAGUUUGUCGAGAAAUUCAACAGUGAAGGGAACAUGACUUACAGCCUAUCCAUCAACCGAUUUUCGGAUAUGACCUAUGACGAAUUCCUCAGGCAUUAUACUGGAUACAAGCAGCCCACUGAAUCAACCUCAUCUGCUGCUGCAUCUUUUACAUACGAAAACCUAAGCCCGGCUGAUGUUCCCCAAAGCAUUGACUGGAGGGAGAAGAGUGCUGUUACUCCAGUAAAAUUUCAAGGGAGCUGUGGUAAGAGCACCAACCGCCAUAUUAACAUAGGGCUAAGCUUCCUUGUACAUAUGUAUGUAUUGCAUUAAUUACUUUCUUCGUGCAUUCAUUCCUACGGAAAUUAAUUCAUAUCCGUUUGUUCGAAUACAUGCAGGUUGUUGCUGGGCAUUUGCCGCAGUGGCAGCAGUCGAAGGGAUUACCCAAAUCAAAACUGGCAAAUUGAUCUCACUGUCUGAGCAACAACUUGUGAACUGUGAUACAGAAAUUAACGAGGGCUGCCAAGGUGGUCGGGCAGUUAAUGCCUUUGCAUACAUUCAACGAAACGGAGGAAUCACCAGUGAAGAAAACUACCCAUACCAGGGUUUAGAUGGCACAUGUGAUAUGAACAAGGCAAAUGAGGCUGCUGCCCACAUAACUGGUUAUGCAGAGGUACCUCCCAACAGUGAAACCGAUCUACUCAAGGCUGUGUCCAUGCAACCAGUCUCCGUUUCCAUCCACGCCUCACCAGCCUUUCAGCAUUAUUCAGGCGGGGUGUUCACCGGUGAUGAUUGUGGGACAAAAUUGAACCACGCUGUUACCAUCAUUGGGUAUGGGACAACUGAAGAUGGCACCCCCUAUUGGUUAAUCAAGAAUUCAUGGUCUGAUACGUGGGGUGAGAAUGGCUACAUGAAGAUUCUUAGAAACGCUGAUGCCCCAGGUGGUGUUUGUGGCCUCGCUAUAAGACCUUGCUAUCCGACUAUGUAAUGUAUU
rnacentral:lncRNA from 1 species